AGCGAACGCUGGCGGUGGGCCUAACACAUGCAAGUCGAACGGCAGCACAGUAAGAGCUUGCUCUUACGGGUGGCGAGUGGCGGACGGGUGAGGAAUACAUCGGAAUCUACUUUUUCGUGGGGGAUAACGUAGUGAAACUUACGCUAAUACCGCAUACGACCUACGGGUGAAAGCAGGGGAUCUUCGGACCUUGCGCGAUUGAAUGAGCCGAUGUCGGCUUAGCUAGUUGGCGGGGUAAAGGCCCACCAAGGCGACGAUCCGUAGCUGGUCUGAGAGGAUGAUCAGCCACUCUGGAACUGAGACACGGUCCAGACUCCUACGGGAGGCAGCAGUGGGGAAUAUUGGACAAUGGGCGCAAGCCUGAUCCAGCCAUACCGCGUGGGUGAAGAAGGCCUUCGGGUUGUAAAGCCCUUUUGUUGGGAAAGAAAAGCAGCAGGUUAAUACCCCGCUGUUCUGACGGUACCCAAAGAAUAAGCACCGGCUAACUUCGU
rnacentral:rRNA from 1 species